UGGGGAAUAUUGGGCAAUGGGCGAAAGCCUGACCCAGCGACGCCGCGUGGGCGAUGAAGGCCUUCGGGUUGUAAAGCCCUGUCAUGCGGAAAGAACGACCCUGUGACGCAUACUCACAGGGAGUGACGGUACCGCAGGAGGAAGCCCCGGCUAACUCCGUGCCAGCAGCCGCGGUAAUACGGAGGGUGCAAGCGUUGUUCGGAAUUAUUGGGCGUAAAGGGCGCGUAGGCGGGAAUGUAAGUCAGAUGUGAAAUACUUCGGCUCAACUGAAGAACGGCAGCUGAAACUGCAUAACUAGAGGACAGAAGAGGGAAACGGAAUUCCCGGUGUAGAGGUGAAAUUCGUAGAUAUCGGGAGGAACACCAGUGGCGAAGGCGGUUUCCUGGUCUGAUACUGACGCUGAGGCGCGAAAGUGUGGGGAGCAAACA
rnacentral:rRNA from 1 species